rnacentral:misc_RNA from 1 species
ACAAAUCAAAUACGCUGUGUCUGACGGCCGACCGCCACGUCGCUAAACUGGGCCGCCGCAAGGUGGAUACACGAUAUGAGUUGACAGCGGAGACAGCGAGAA